GAUUGCGAUCAUGCCCCCACUAAUGCACCGGAUCCCAUCAGAAUUUCGCAGUUAAGCGUGCUUGAGCGAGCGUAGUACUAGGAUGGGUGACCCCCUGGGAAGUCCUCGUGUUGCGUCCC
rnacentral:rRNA from 1 species